AAAGAACUGAGGCUCACAAAAGAUCCCUCCAUCUUCUAUUGCGCCUCCAAGUCUCGGGUCGUAUUGUCUCAUCUGGACUUCUUCCACACAGUCGGCAGGAAACCAGCCGGUUCGGCCUUUAACGCUUCCUUCCCAGAAUCCUCCUUCACCGAUAGAGAGAACUCUGGAUCUCUCCGGGCCCCUGAGGGACGUGGGACCGGGUGGCG